rnacentral:rRNA from 1 species
CCUACGGGAGGCAGCAGUAAGGAAUAUUGGUCAAUGGACGCAAGUCUGAACCAGCCAUGCCGCGUGAAGGAUGAAGGCCCUCUGGGUUGUAAACUUCUUUUACAGGGGACGAAAAAGGGAAUUUUUCUCACUUGACGGUACCCUGGGAAUAAGCACCGGCUAACUCCGUGCCAGCAGCCGCGGUAAUACGGAGGGUGCAAGCGUUAUCCGGAUUCACUGGGUUUAAAGGGUGCGUAGGUGGGCAUUUAAGUCAGUGGUGAAAUCUCCGGGCUUAACCCGGAAACUGCCAUUGAUACUAUUUGUCUUGAAUAUUGUGGAGGUAAGCGGAAUAUGUCAUGUAGCGGUGAAAUGCUUAGAUAUGACAUAGAACACCCAUUGCGAAGGCAGCUUACUACGCAAAUAUUGACACUGAGGCACGAAAGCGUGGGGAUCAAACAGGAUUAGAUACCCUGGUAGUCCACGCCCUAAACGAUGGAUACUCGACAUCAGCGAUACACAGUUGGUGUCUGAGCGAAAGCAUUAAGUAUCCCACCUGGAAGUACGACCGCAAGGUUGAAACUCAAAGGAAUUGACGGCUGAGAGNGCGAGACGACACGAGGGAGAGG